GAUGAACGCUAGCGGCAGGCUUAACACAUGCAAGUCGAGGGGCAGCACGGGUAGCAAUACCUGGUGGCGACCGGCAAACGGGUGCGGAACACGUACACAAUCUCCCUUCGAGCGGGGAAUAGCCCAGAGAAAUUUGGAUUAAUACCCCAUAGUACAACGGAGUGGCAUCACUUUGUUGUUAAAGAUUUAUCACUUGAAGAUGGCUGUGCGGCUGAUUAGGUAGUUGGCGGGGUAACGGCCCACCAAGCCUGCGAUCAGUAACUGGUGUGAGAGCACGACCAGUCACACGGGCACUGAGACACGGGCCCGACUCCUACGGGAGGCAGCAGUAAGGAAUAUUGGUCAAUGGACGAAAGUCUGAACCAGCCAUGCCGCGUGGAGGAUGAAGGUCCUCUGGAUUGUAAACUUCUUUUAUAUGGGACGAAAAAAGGGUUUUCUAACUCGUCUGACGGUAUCAUAUGAAUAAGCACCGGCUAACUCCGUGCCAGCCGCCGCGGUAAGAC
rnacentral:rRNA from 1 species